AUUGAACGCUGGCGGAAUGCUUUACACAUGCAAGUCGAACGGCAGCACGGACUUCGGUCUGGUGGCGAGUGGCGAACGGGUGAGUAAUGUAUCGGAACGUGCCCAGUCGUGGGGGAUAACGUAGUGAAAAUUACGCUAAUACCGCAUACGAUCUAUGGAUGAAAGCGGGGGAUCGCAAGACCUCGCGCGAUUGGAGCGGCCGAUAUCAGAUUAGGUAGUUGGUGGGGAAAAGGCCCACAAAGCCAACGAUCUGUAGCUGGUCUGAGAGGACGACCAGCCACACUGGAACUGAGACACGGUCCAGACUCAUACGGGAGGUAGAAGUGGGGAAUUUUGGACAAUGGGCGGAAGCAUGAUCCAGGCAUUCCGCGUGCAGGAUGAAGGCCCUCGGGUUGUAAACUGCUUUUGUACAGAACGAAAAGGUUUCUACUAAUACUAGGAGCUCAUGACGGUACUGUAAGAAUAAGCACCGGCUAACUACGUGCCAGCCGCCGCCGUAA
rnacentral:rRNA from 1 species